UACGGGGGGGGCAAGCGUUGUUCGGAAUUACUGGGCGUAAAGGGCGCGUAGGCGGCCUGUUAAGUCGAACGUGAAAUCCCCGGGCUCAACCCGGGAACUGCGUCCGAUACUGGCAGGCUUGAAUCCGGGAGAGGGAUGCAGAAUUCCAGGUGUAGCGGUGAAAUGCGUAGAUAUCUGGAGGAAUACCGGUGGCGAAGGCGGCAUCCUGGACCGGCAUUGACGCUGAGGAGCGAAAGCUAGGGGAGCAAACGGG
rnacentral:rRNA from 1 species